AGCCUAACCCUUUUGAAUUUCAAGAGGUAUGGUGAAAAAGGUCCCGCUAGAGUAUAAAAGACUCCUCGUCAGAGUCACUCUAGCGGGUCAUAUCAGGAAACUGGUAUGGGUGGGCCUCGGUCUAUC
rnacentral:sRNA from 1 species